rnacentral:pre_miRNA from 1 species
UAAUAUCAGCUGGUAAUCCUGAGCAAAAGAAUCUCUCAGGCGGCUAGUUGGUAUUGGG